rnacentral:rRNA from 13 species
GGGGUAUUGUAAGCAGUAGAGUGGCCUUGCUGCUACGAUCUGCUGAGAUUCAGCCCUUAUUCGUAAGAUUU